AAUCAACGCUGGCGGCGUGCCUCAGACAUGCAAGUCGAACGAUUAAAGCUCUCUUCGGAGAGUGUAUAGAGUGGCGCACGGGUGAGUAACACGUAAGUAAUCUACCUUCGAGUGGGGAAUAACGUCCGGAAACGGACGCUAAUACCGCAUAAUGCAGCGGCACCGCAAGGUGACAGUUGUUAAAGAUUUAUCGCUUGAGGAGGAGCUUGCGGCAGAUUAGCAGUUGGUAAGGUAAUGGCUUACCAAGGCUACGAUCUGUAACCGGUCUAAGAGGACGGUCGGUCACACUGACACUGAAUAACGGGUCAGACUCCUACGGGAGGCAGCAGUCGGGAAUUUUGGGCAAUGGGCGAAAGCCUGACCCAGCAACGCCGCGUGAAGGAUGAAGUAUUUCGGUAUGUAAACUUCGAAAGAAUGGGAAGAAUCAAUGACGGUACCAUUUAUAAGGUCCGGCUAACUACGUGCCAGCAGCCG
rnacentral:rRNA from 1 species